UUUACAAUUAGCAGGCGGCUAUCGCUGGCGCCUGUUGAAAAAUCGCGUGGGACCGUUUAAAGUUGCUGGGCGUUGUGUUGUUGUUGUUGUUGCUGUUGCUGUUGUAGUUGCUGUUGUUCGUGUGGCAGCGGCUCCGACUCUGGCACCGCCUUCUGCUGCUGCUGCUGAGGCUGACAAAAGCGAUGACAAAUGGACAACGACGACGACGACAAAAAUGACGACGACGGCUGCAUUUUCAUCCAUUGAUCAACUGGUUGUUGCUUUUAUCCAGACAUUUGUCGGAAUUUGGCGGCGCCUCUGCGCUCCCACCUUCGUAAUAUGGUAUUAAGCAGCGAAUUCUUGAUUUUCCUUUAGUCCGGGCUUUAUAAUCAGAUUGAAGGCUACGUUGUCAUUUACGGUUAAAAAUAGAGCUAUUGGCUUUUAAUUGUAGAUCAUUGUAGUUUUGUAUUCUUAUGUUUUAUAUAUUUGUUUAGUUGUAUAUUUAUAAAUAUUUUGCUUCGCGUUUGGUGGAGUGUUUGUUGCUAUAUUUCUUUGUUACUUAUUUACAAUUAACUGUUACUGUUGCUUCAAGCU